UACGGGGGGGCAAGCGUUUGUUCGGAAUUACUGGGCGUAAAGGGCGCGUAGGCGGCCUGCUAAGUCGGGAUGUGAAAUCCCUCGGCUCAACCGAGGAACUGCAUCCGAUACUGGCGGGCUCGAAUCCGGGAGAGGGAUGUGGAAUUCCAGGUGUAGCGGUGAAAUGCGUAGAUAUCUGGAGGAAUACCGGUGGCGAAGGCGGCAUCCUGGACCGACAUUGACGCUGAGGAGCGAAAGCCAGGGGAGCAAACAGGAUUAAGCAAACCCGUGGUACGUC
rnacentral:rRNA from 1 species